GAUGAACGCUAGCGGGAGGCUUAAUACAUGCAAGUCGAGGGGUAACAGGGGCUUCGGCCCGCUGACGACCGGCGCACGGGUGAGUAACGCGUACGCAACUUACCUCCAAGCGAGGGAUAGCCCUGGGAAACUGGGAUUAAUACCUCAUGUGAUUAUGAUGCCGCAUGGUGUUAUAAUUAAAGUUCAGGCGCUUGGAGAUGGGCGUGCGUCCUAUUAGCUAGUUGGUGAGGUAACGGCUCACCAAGGCGACGAUAGGUAGGGGGCUGAGAGCGUGGCCCCCCAGACGGGUACUCGAGACACGGACCCGACUCCUACGGGAGGCAGCAGUAAGGAAUAUUGGACAAUGGGCGCAAGCCUGAUCCAGCCAUCCCGCGUGCAGGAU
rnacentral:rRNA from 1 species